AUGCUUAAAUUAUUUCUUGCAUGGAUUUGGGAGUGGGGCGCCGCAGAGGCACUUGUUGUGCUGGAAGUUGUAGACAUCCAACCUCGCCAAGGCGGCCGGAACCUGGCCGCACAGCUUGUUGUAGCUCACGUUGAACUGCCGCAGGUUCGUUACAUUCGCCACCUGCGCUGGGAUGCCGCCGCGGAUGGCGUUUUGGCUCGCAUCCAUGGCUUGCAUCUCCUCCGGGAACUCCACGCCGGAGAGGUCGAAGCUGAGGGCGUUGUGGGACAGGUCAAUGCUUUGCAGCUCCUUUGUCCUGCCGAAGAACACGGACGCGUCGCCGGUGAGAGCGUUGUGGGAGAGGUCGACUUGCAGGAAGCCGACUGCAGCGAACUCGGCUGGGAUGGAGCCGGAGAGGUGGUUGUCGGAGAGCAAAAGGACUGGGAGAAGAGUGGAUUUGGAGAAGAGUGGCGGGAUGGUGCCUGUGAGGCUGUUGUUUCUGAGGUCGAUGGAGUCUAA
rnacentral:rRNA from 1 species